rnacentral:snRNA from 1 species
GGAUGUGAGGGCAAUCUGGACAUGUCACCCCACUGCUCUCCAGGGUUUUUGACUGAGCUGAUCUGGCUGGCCAGGUGGUGUCCCAAAGCUCUGUGUGUGUCCCUCCUGAAGCUGAGGAUGCCAUCCCCUCUAGAGACGGCACCAUCCAUCAGUCAAGGGUAUAAGGCAGCUGCGCUCCCCUGCCACAGCCUCCAAACCAGCUCAAGGUCCAUUUGUAGGAGAACAGGGGGUAGCCAAGCUUCCAAGACUGCAGACACAUCCAAGUGAGGCGCUCCAUGGGGGAAUUUUCCUUUGCUU